rnacentral:rRNA from 1 species
UACGUAGGGUGCAAGCGUUAAUCGGAAUUACUGGGCGUAAAGCGUGCGCAGGCGGUUGUGCAAGACAGAUGUGAAAUCCCCGGGCUCAACCUGGGAACUGCAUUUGUGACUGCACGGCUGGAGUGCGGCAGAGGGGGAUGGAAUUCCGCGUGUAGCAGUGAAAUGCGCAGAUAUCUGGAGGAACACCAGUGGCGAAGGCGGCAUCCUGGCCCUGUCCUGACGCUCAGGGGCGAAAGCGUGGGGAGCAAACCGGG